rnacentral:misc_RNA from 1 species
GGGUCAACUGGCUAAGGCAGAGCAAGAAGCGCCGACCAAGACUAUAAGAGAUGUUGACAAAUAACGCGCCGUAGAUGCAAGGAUAUACGUAACAGCUUACGACUGCCGCCACGUGGACGUUGAUGAGGUCUCACCGACCCGCUUGUCAUACAUAGACAAAACCCCAAAAGCAUGUUUCUUUGCGUUUCGUACCCUUCGGUUUUUUCUUCGUCCUUUCCUUCCCUGAAUCCCUGUUUUAAACCCUAGAAAUUGGACGACGAAGAAUUCAAUAUCUUUCUGAUCAUCGAUCUUUUAUGUGUAUACGCUAAUCGAUUUGGUUUGCGAGUGUUAGAUUGAAGGUGUUGAAAGCUGGAAAUUUUGAUAGCAAGAUUAUAGAUAGAGCAUGAGUACUCAGGCUCAGGGAGUGAGGGGCCCUACCUUAAGGGGGUAUCGCAGGAGGAAGGCAAUGCUUGACUUGAAUGUGCCUCCAAGUGAAAACAGGGAUCAGGAAGGAACUUCAACUGAGGGUGUGCAACAUGGAGAGCAAGCAAGUCAACAAGGGCAGCCUGUACCACCUGCUACAAUCGAUGUUGAGGCUAUUGAUGAUGAUGAUGUUAUUGAAUCUUCCCCGAGGGCUUUUGCUGAAGCUAAGAGUAAUGCUCGAAGAAACAAUGCCCAAAGAACCCAUGGAAGUACUGUUGUAGUCGAUGUAGAUUCAGGACGAACAACUAGGUUGAAUUAUAAUAACCAUAACAAGCGCAGACGAGUUCUACCAGACCAAACAAUUAUCAAUUGUGAACAUUAUGUAAAUUUGGAAGGCAGUAGCAGCUCCAUGAGAGAUAAUGUACCGUCACCACCUCCAGUUCCAAAGGAGCCAACCUUCAACUGUCCGAUUUGCAUGGGUCCAUUUGUUGAGGAGACAUCGACAAAAUGCGGGCACAUUUUCUGUAAGGCUUGCAUUAAGGCUGCAAUUAGAGUAAAGGCAAAAUGUCCUACAUGUAGGAAAAGAGUCAUUGGUAAAAACCUUAUUAGGGUGUUCCUUCCUGCAACCAGUUCAUUGUGAUGCUCAUGACCAAUUGCUAUUUUAUGUAAGUUUUCUUUUUUAACUGAUGUAUUUACUGUGGUCAUUAGUUAAAGAAGCAGCAUUAUUUCACUUAUAUGAUAUAUUUAUAUUUCAAGGAUUUGUUGUAUGUGACAUGAUAGUAUAUCCACAUAUGAGCACAUGCACUCACCUUAAGGAGGUGGAUUUCAAAAUGAAAAAUGCUUAGCUUCAAGUUUAUUCUGUGGGAUAUGUUGAAAUAAUUAGGCAGAAGAAAUGAUGGUAUGCUCAAGUGCAUUGUCUUCUCUCUCUCUCUCUCU